ACACAUCUCCACACCACACUCCCAGCAGUUAUGCAACUGAUAAAUGAAUAUGGGAGGGUGUCCUACUACUCCCUCAAUACAUCCAAGACCCAAGCACUAGGCAUAUCCCUACCGACCAAACUCACCACACAACUCCAACGGGAAUAUACGUUCGAAUGGAGGUCUGAUACUAUCACAUAUCUAGGGAUUACAUACACGAAGGCCCACACUGCACUAUUCGCUGCAAACUAUGUGGCAACAUGGAACAACUGCCGUAACUUACUCAAAAAAUGGUCACCACUAUAUCUGUCCUGGACCGAAAGAAUUAUAACGAUAAAAAUGUCAAUCCUCCCUAGGUUGCUCUACCUGUUUCGUACCUUACCAAUAGAACUCCCCAGAUCCUUCCUUAAAACGGUCCAAUCAGACAUAAAUCAAUUUGUAUGGAAGGGGAGCAAACCCAGAGUGGCACAGAAUUUACUAAAC